rnacentral:rRNA from 1 species
GAUGAACGCUGGCGGCGUGCCUAAUACAUGCAAGUCGAGCGAACAGACGAGGAGCUUGCUCCUCUGACGUUAGCGGCGGACGGGUGAGUAACACGUGGAUAACCUACCUAUAAGACUGGGAUAACUUCGGGAAACCGGAGCUAAUACCGGAUAAUAUAUUGAACCGCAUGGUUCAAUAGUGAAAGACGGUUUUGCUGUCACUUAUAGAUGGAUCAGCGCCGCAUUAGCUAGUUGGUAAGGUAACGGCUUACCAAGGCAACGAUGCGUAGCCGACCUGAGAGGGUGAUCGGCCACACUGGAACUGAGACACGGUCCAGACUCCUACGGGAGGCAGCAGUAGGGAAUCUUCCGCAAUGGGCGAAAGCCUGACGGAGCAACGCCGCGUGAGUGAUGAAGGUCUUCGGAUCGUAAAACUCUGUUAUUAGGGAAGAACAAAUGUGUAAGUAACUAUGCACGUCUUGACGGUACCUAAUCAGGAAGCCACGGCUAACUACGUG